AGGCUGAAGAGUUGAGUGCUAGUGCAGCUUGUCCAAGUGGUCAGUUGGAGAAUGAUCUAGGGCAAAAUGAUGGUGCAGCCAGUCUGACAGUGCUCAUUGAGAGAAAAGCCCCAAGUGUAGUAGCCGAAUAUGAAAAAUCAGGAACACUCCGUGACAUCCAGAAAACUUCUUGUGAAGACAGGUGUCAGCCAUCUGAUGGAGUGAAGGGAUUUUACCCUUCAAAUGCUGAAAAACUGAGGUUGGCUAAAAGCAUUAUAACAGUCUUCCCAUCACUGAAGAUCAAGAUACAAGAAGAGAAUGAAAGAUUUACUAUCAACUCGUAGUCGCGUAUUUUGGUCUCAAAAUGCAGAGUGACUGCGCAGAAUGCGUAGAUGUUGGCAGUUCUGCAAAUGGGGGAGGUCCAGUGAUCCCUCUGGAGUUGGUAUAACACUGGACGUGACUGCAGAAGGGGAAGAAGAGUCCAUAAAGGAGUGAAUAACCAUCACCAAAAGGCUGAGACCAUCUCCUGAGAACCUCACAUCUAUCAAAAUGGGCAUGGAGAAAACCUUCACCAACCGAAUGUUGUGGAUCACAAGCAAGUCACUAACAGUGGCUGAGAUUUUUCCGCAGUACCCUCACUUUGUAGACCUGCAAUAUUUGUUAAGUAUACAGCAUAUUGUAUUGCAGAUGCACAUCUGGAGCCUAGACAAUGGGCAUAAAUACCCUUUUGUAUACUUUAAUGAUGCAUUUAGCCAUGUUUCAUUUCAAUAUGAAAGGGGAACUGAAUUAAAAAUUCCAAUGUGUUAUUUCCAUGGCCUAGGAAAUUUCAAUCAUUAUUUGUGAACAUGAGCUAUACUCUCUCAAAGCCAGAAACCAGAGAAGUAAGUCUCAAACUUGUGAUGUUUGGACCUGCUCCAUAGACAAUGAAUGGGAGACUGAUUUUGUGGACUGACAGAAUGUUUGUUUUCUUGACUAUACCAAAUUGAGCUUUAUUUUAUUGUAAAGAUGCACCGAUCGAUCAGCAACUGAUCGAAAACGGCCGAUUUUCAGCUGAUCAGCCAUGACCGGUGACCGGCCGAUCAGUCUCAUACAUCUGAUUUUUUUGCUGGUCAAAUUUACACACGUGCCGCAUGAUGGCUCACGCCACACACACAGUGACACAGACAGCAGCCACACACAAGUAGUGCACACAGCGACAACUUUAUAUCUUAAAUAAUAAUCUAAACUUUAAAAAUAACAAUUUACUUUAGUUUUUUUCACAGAAAUUAAUGAAAUGCUGAGAUAUAGGCCUAAAAAAAUCCCUUAAG